rnacentral:rRNA from 1 species
AUUGAACGCUGGCGGCAUGCUUUACACAUGCAAGUCGAACGGUAACAGGGAGCUUGCUCCGCUGACGAGUGGCGAACGGGUGAGUAAUGCAUCGGAACGUGCCUAUUUGUGGGGGAUAACGUAGCGAAAGUUACGCUAAUACCGCAUACGCCCUGAGGGGGAAAGCGGGGGAUUCGUAAGAACCUCGCGCAAUUAGAGCGGCCGAUGUCGGAUUAGCUAGUUGGUGGGGUAAAGGCUCACCAAGGCGACGAUCCGUAGCGGGUCUGAGAGGAUGAUCCGCCACACUGGGACUGAGACACGGCCCAGACUCCUACGGGAGGCAGCAGUGGGGAAUUUUGGACAAUGGGCGAAAGCCUGAUCCAGCCAUGCCGCGUGAGUGAAGAAGGCCUCGGUUGUAAAGCUCUUUCUAGCCGGAAAGAAAGUCGCGCAGGCUAAUACU